rnacentral:rRNA from 1 species
UACGGGGGGGCAAGCGUUGUUCGGAAUCACUGGGCGUAAAGGGUGCGUAGGCGGGUCUUUAAGUCAGGGGUGAAAUCCUGGAGCUCAACUCCAGAACUGCCUUUGAUACUGAGAUCUUGAGUCCGGGAGAGGUGAGUGGAACUGCGAGUGUAGAGGUGAAAUUCGUAGAUAUUCGCAAGAACACCAGUGGCGAAGGCGGCUCACUGGCCCGAUACUGACGCUGAGGUGCGAAAAGCCGUGGGGGAGCAAACAGGGAUUAAGAAACCC